UACGUAGGGUGCAAGCGUUAAUCGGAAUUACUGGGCGUAAAGCGUGCGCAGGCGGUUCGCCAAGUCAGGUGUGAAAUCCCCGGGCUUAACCUGGGAAUUGCGCUUGAAACUAGCGGGCUCGAGUGUGGCAGAGGGGGGUGGAAUUCCACGUGUAGCAGUGAAAUGCGUAGAGAUGUGGAGGAACACCGAUGGCGAAGGCAGCCCCCUGGGUCAACACUGACGCUCAUGCACGAAAGCGUGGGGAGCAAACAGG
rnacentral:rRNA from 1 species